UUUGCUGCCAAAAAAAAAAAAGUCAUUGAUGUUCCCAUACCAGUAUCAUGUGAAUUGUUGGGAAAGAGCGCAGCUUUCUAAUCUGACAGCAGAGUAAAAUAGCCUUAGCUUAUCUGCAUAGUAAUGAAAACUCAGGCUAUACACUUCAGGAACCAUCUCUUAGUUCAUCACUCAAGCAACGAAAAACAGAAUAAUUUCAGCGUCAAUUUAAGGCUUCGAAUAAUCUUCUGAUCAGGACCAAAGCCAUAUUCAGCAACCUAACAAUAGAGGCUGAACUGAGCCAAGAGCCAAGAUUGAUGGGCUCCUGAGCGGGCAGGAUGGCAGCAAAGCUCAGCAUGCAGAAGACCCUGAGUCAGCUGCCCUCAUCCUUCACCUGUCUCUUUCAAAGAAAUGACAGCCUGAGUACUGGGCCACGCUCAGAGACUUGAUUGAAAUUUCUCAGAUAAAUCAAAAUGAACAAGACAUGUUUGCACUUGAAUUGAAAUGGGGUUUCCUAGCACCUCAAGUAGAGCACAGGAAUAUGAAGCCAAACCAAAACGCAAUUUAUUUUCUAGUGGUGCUGAUAUGUCUUAACAUGUUCUGUGGUCCACAGGCAGCCUGUCUUCCUCAGUAUGUCUUUUGCCAUCCGGGGAUCUCUCCCAGCCCCACAGUUUCUUGUCCCUUCUCUUCCCUUACCUUCAUCUUCCCUCUCAUCCAGUAGAACUCUAGACUUCAUUUCUUGUUUUUGUCCAUAUCCUCAUUCACAUAUUCCCCCUGACCCCCAGGUCUCCUGUACCACACACUUGGCCCCAUUCAGGAGGGCACCGUGUCUAAAAGUUCUGACCAACCACUCCCUGAACCAGAAUGCCACGGUGUGGGGUAUAGAGUAGCUUCUUCCUGUUGCUCGUUUAAUCUGGCUAUUUUAUUUAUGCAGACAAUCAUCUUGCUCCAAUAGGAAUUCAAGAAGGCUUCUAAAAAUACACAGAGAUUGUUUGGACAUUGAACCAAUGUCCUGGUGGAGAUACUGUAGCGAGGGAUUGAAAAUACAAUCUUAUACUUCUUCUUUGGGGCCUUCCCACACAGCAUCCUCUCCAGAAC
rnacentral:lncRNA from 1 species